rnacentral:sRNA from 1 species
GCUGGGUGUGGUGGAGCAUGCCUGUAAUCCCAGCAGCUUGGGAGGCUGAGGCAGGAAAAGCAUGAGUUCAAUGUCAACCUCAGCAAUUUAGCAAGGCCCUAAGCCUGCUGUCCUUGGGAUCUUUCAUAUCUGUUUUAA